rnacentral:tRNA from 1 species
CAGGAAUUAACAUAUAAAAAUGUGUCUCACUUACAUUGAGAAAAUAAUUAUUAAUUUUGAUUAUUCCUGA